ACCCUUUAAUGUUUGAUGUUCUAACGUGGACCCGUGAUCCGGGUUGCGGACAGUGUCUGGUGGGUAGUUUGACUGGGGCGGUCUCCUCCUAAAGAGUAACGGAGGAGCACGAAGGUUGGCUAAUCCUGGUCGGACAUCAGGAGGUUAGUGCAAUGGCAUAAGCCAGCUUGACUGCGAGCGUGACGGCGCGAGCAGGUGCGAAAGCAGGUCAUAGUGAUCCGGUGGUUCUGAAUGGAAGGGCCAUCGCUCAACGGAUAAAAGGUACUCCGGGGAUAACAGGCUGAUACCGCCCAAGAGUUCAUAUCGACGGCGGUGUUUGGCACCUCGAUGUCGGCUCAUCACAUCCUGGGGCUGAAGUAGGUCCCAAGGGUAUGGCUGUUCGCCAUUUAAAGUGGUACGCGAGCUGGGUUUAGAACGUCGUGAGACAGUUCGGUCCCUAUCUGCCGUGGGCGCUGGAGAACUGAGGGGGGCUGCUCCUAGUACGAGAGGACCGGAGUGGACGCAUCACUGGUGUUCGGGUUGUCAUGCCAAUGGCACUGCCCGGUAGCUAAAUGCGGAAGAGAUAAGUGCUGAAAGCAUCUAAGCACGAAACUUGCCCCGAGAUGAGUUCUCCCUGAGACUUAAAGUCUCCUGA
rnacentral:rRNA from 2 species